GACGAACGCUGGCGGUGUGCUUAACACAUGCAAGUCGAACGGAAAGGCCCUGCUUUUGUGGGGUGCUCGAGUGGCGAACGCGUGAGUAACACGUGAAUAACCUGCCCUUCACUUUGGGAUAACUUCAGGAAACUGGGGCUAAUACCGGAUAGGAUCUCCUCCUGCAUUGUGGGGGUUGGAAAUUUUCGGCGGGUGGGGAUGGACUCGCGGCUUAUCAGCUUGUUGGUGGGGUAGUGGCUUACCAAGGCUUUGACGGGUCGCCGGCCUGAGAGGGUGACCGGCCACAAUGGGACUGAGAUACGGCCCAGACUGCUACGGGAGGCAGCAGUGGGGAAUAUUGCACAGUGGGCGGAAGCGUGAUGCAGCAACGCCGCGGUCGGGAUGACGGCCUUCGGGUUGUAAACCGCUUUCGCCUGUGACGAAGCGUUAGUGACGGUAAUGGGUAAAGAAGCACCGGCUAACUACGUG
rnacentral:rRNA from 1 species